UACGUAGGGUGCAGGCGUUAAUCGGAAUUACUGGGCGUAAAGCGUGCGCAGGCGGUUUGCUAAGACAGGUGUGAAAUCCCCGGGCUUAACCUGGGAACUGCGCUUGUUACUGGCAGGCUUGAGUGUGGCAGAGGGGGGUGGAAUUCCACGUGGUAGCAGUGAAAUGCGUAGAGAUGUGGAGGAACACCGAUGGCGAAGGCAGCCCCCUGGGCUAACCACGUGACGCCUCGAUGCACGAAAGCGUGGGGAGCGAAACAAGGAUUGAGAAA
rnacentral:rRNA from 1 species